rnacentral:rRNA from 1 species
CCUACGGGUGGCUGCAGUGAGGAAUAUUGGUCAAUGGGCGGGAGCCUGAACCAGCCAAGUCGCGUGAGGGACGACGGUCCUAUGGAUUGUAAACCUCUUUUGUCGGGGAACAAAGGCGCCCACGGGUGGGCGGAUGAGUGUACCCGAAGAAAAAGCAUCGGCUAACUCCGUGCCAGCAGCCGCGGUAAUACGGAGGAUUCAAGCGUUCUCCGGAUUUAUUGGGUUUAAAGGGUGCGUAGGCGGUUCGAUAAGUUAGAGGUGAAAUCCCGGGGCUCAACUCCGGCACUGCCUCUGAUACUGUCGGGCUAGAGUUUAGUUGCGGUAGGCGGAAUGUAUGGUGUAGCGGUGAAAUGCAUAGAGAUCAUACAGAACACCGAUUGCGAAGGCAGCUUACCAAACUACGACUGACGUUGAGGCACGAAAGCGUGGGGAGCAAACAGGAUUAGAUACCCGAGUAGUC